UGGGGUGUAGCCAAGUGGUAAGGCAACAGACUUUGACUCUGUCAUUCACUGGUCCGAUCCCAGUCACCCCAGCCA
rnacentral:tRNA from 1 species